rnacentral:rRNA from 1 species
GGAAUCUUCCACAAUGGACGCAAGUCUGAUGGAGCAACGCCGCGUGAGUGAAGAAGGGUUUCGGCUCGUAAAGCUCUGUUGUUAAAGAAGAAUGUGGGUAAGAGUAACUGUUUACCCAGUGACGGUAUUUAACCAGAAAGCCACGGCUAACUACGUGCCAG